ensembl:lncRNA
CUUCUCCCUGGCCGCCGCCGCCUCUGCCUCCUCCCUCCUCAGCCUCUCCAUCUCCACCUGACGACAACACGAGGGUGACAUUACGCGAACGACUUUACCAUGACCGCUCUCCACCCGUGUGCCUUCCUGUUAGAGGCGUAGCAGGAGCCCAGCUUCCACCCACAGUCCACCUACACGUUUCCACGGCUUCAGGAUCAGGAGAAGCGCAAAUGACGAGCGCGAUGAAACAGCUAAUUAUUCAGAUUAUCUCCUCCGGGUAAUGAAAUUGUGCCUUAAUGUUCUGGCAAUUGUGUGUCUCCACUUGAUCCAGAAUGCGGCAGCGAGGCUUCUGACCGACACUAAACACCUAUUACUUCAGUCCUGGCUGUAUAUGUACCCGGGCUUCCAGCAGCUUCAGAAUUGACAGAUCCGCUGGUCUUCUCACCUUGCUCUGAUUGCUUCAGGGACCUCUGUAGUUGAAGCAGCUGAGUGGCCGACUUAUCCUGGCUGUCUAGUAGGUCCGUCACCUGCUGACUCAGAACAACCACCUGAGUCUUGGCUUCCUCCUGAGGGAAUAACACAAUAACAACUGCUCUGAUGAAAUAUAUACAGUGAAUUCCCUUCAUUUAUUGCAAUUUAUUUAUUGGGAAGAUCUGGCGGGAAAGCUUCAAGCUAACAAUCCCGAUCAGAACGCUCACUUUUACCCUCUCUCUUUGUGUGUCCCUGAGUUCCUGCUGGAAUUCCCGCAGGGCGGCGUGCACUAUGUCCACAUCCAGAUGUUCCUCUUCUCCACGAGACAAGGACAAUACACAUCCAUCCGUCUCAUUGUCUCCCCCUAACCAGAGAACACACUUUUUUUGAGCCAAACAUAUGCAAACAUUUGCCACAUGUUAUUAUGAACAGCCAUGACAAUACCUUUUACUUGCAGGCAGUUCUUCCGGGGAGAGGGGGACCGUUUGCGGGACGCAGGUGAACCGGAAAGCCUCGCUUGGUGGGUGCCGGCAGCGCGGCACAGAGCUGAAUACAGCCCUGCCAACUUGAGCUCCAGGUCCCUGCGUUGUGCAUCGCUGGCGCCCAGCCGCUCCUGCAGGCCCUGGACUUUGCUCUCUGCGAGGCCGACCUGCUCGGCGAGUUGCUUGAUCUGGAUGCCGGCGUCGUCUAGCGCUUCCUCCAGCUGUGCUGUUGCUCCGC